rnacentral:rRNA from 1 species
GACGAACGCUGGCGGCGUGCUUAACACAUGCAAGUCGAACGGAAAGGCCCUGCUUUUGUGGGGUGCUCGAGUGGCGAACGGGUGAGUAACACGUGAGUAACCUGCCCUUGACUUUGGGAUAACUUCAGGAAACUGGGGCUAAUACCGGAUAGGAGCUCCUGCUGCACGGUGGGGGUUGGAAAGUUUCGGCGGUUGGGGAUGGACUCGCGGCUUAUCAGCUUGUUGGUGGGGUAGUGGCUUACCAAGGCUUUGACGGGUAGCCGGCCUGAGAGGGUGACCGGCCACAUUGGGACUGCGAUACGGCCCAGACUCCUACGGGAGGCAGCAGUGGGGAAUAUUGCACAAUGGGCGGAAGCCUGAUGCAGCAACGCCGCGUGCGGGAUGACGGCCUUCGGGUUGUAAACCGCUUUCGCCUGUGACGAAGCGUGAGUGACGGUAAUGGGUAAAGAAGCACCGGCUAACUACGUG